rnacentral:rRNA from 1 species
CGGAGGGUGCAAGCGUUAUCCGGAUUCACUGGGUUUAAAGGGUGUGUAGGCGGGUAUUUAAGUCAGUGGUGAAAUCUCCGAGCUCAGCUCGGAAACUGCCAUUGAUACUAUUUAUCUUGAAUAUUGUUGAGGUAGGCGGAAUAUGUCAUGUAGCGGUGAAAUGCUUAGAUAUGACAUAGAACACCGAUUGCGAAGGCAGCUUGCUAAACAAUUAUUGACGCUGAGGCACGAAAGCGUGGGGAUCAAACAGGAUUAGAUACCCUGGUAGUCCACGCCCUAAACGAUGAUUACUGGACAUUUGCGAUAUACAGUGAGUGUCUGAGCGAAAGCAUUAAGUAAUCCACCUGGGAAGUACGUCCGCAAGGAUG